rnacentral:rRNA from 1 species
UACGGAGGAUGCGAGCGUUAUCCGGAUUUAUUGGGCUUAAAGGGUGCGUAGGCGGACGCUUAAGUCAGCGGUAAAAUUGCGGGGCUCAACCUCGUCGAGCCGUUGAAACUGGGUGCCUUGAGUGGGCGAGAAGUACGCGGAAUGCGUGGUGUAGCGGUGAAAUGCAUAGAUAUCACACAGAACUCCGAUUGCGAAGGCAGCGUACCGGCGCCCUACUGACGCUGAAGCACGAAGGCGUGGGUAUCGAACAGG